GCGGCUGACUCGGUGGGGGUGGGAAGGUCAGGACCCCUCAGGCCUCCUGGGCCCUGGCUCACUGAGCCCAGCUGUCUGCAACACUUGGAGUUGUGUACUUGAUGGUAAGGUCAGAGCCAAGGAGAAACACUCCAGAAUCAUCAGUGCAGCAGGGUCUCUGGGGAGACAAAUCAACUCUAAGACUGCCACAGGAUGGACAAUAGAGUAAAGAGCCGCUGGACAAGAGAAGGACCUACUCUUCCAUCUCUCCAAAGUGACAUUCCUCAGGACCUAUGCACCCAACACAGUCUCCCAUCAAGAGUGACUGCGUUUUCUCGAGUCUGGAGUUGAUCUUACUCUUGGCCAACCUUGAUGCCUCAGGCCAAUGACACUGUGCUUCUAUUACUCCAGACACAGGGGAAUCUCAGCCCCACAGUUUCUUUGAAAGCCUGGCAACUGUUUUGAGUUUGCCUUAUCCUUAGCAGGCUCAGCUAUGAAUUGUGUAUACAGCUUCCCUAUCAUAAGAUCUCACCAGGGAGCAACUGGCCUGGGGAAGCUGAACUGGGAGGGACUGAGUCAGCAAAAGGCACGGUCAGAGCAGGCAAGCUGGAGGGGGCGGGAGGGGAAGGAGUGCACGCUGACAUCAGCAGAAAGUAUGAUGAAAAUGAGGCAAUACAUAUUUAAAUGGUGUGUUUGCCUUCAACAUCGUGCAGGAAACAAGGAGCACCUAACUUCCUCCAUCGGCCCACCUCAGACCUCUCAGUCUAGGGCAAGCAAGUGCCGGCAAGGGCAAAUGUCACAGAGUGUUAGGGAAUGAAAGCAGACUAAUAUUUACAAUAUGUCGGAUACGAGACAUGCAUUUUCGUAUUUGCUUUGAAAAGCAAACCUCCGCCAUAGCUAUCACUAACCCCUACAUUACAGAUAAGGAAAAUUUUGCUCGGAGAAAUGAAGCUUAAAGUCCUGCUCCUGGGAGGGGCAAAAUGAGGUUCAGUCCUGGGUCUCACUGGAAGGCAUAAUGCACUUUCCCUUGUCAUAUUAGAGGGUGUGAAGCUCUACCUACUGAAGGGUCUCUACGGCAGCCAUUGUGGGAGAUGGGCAUUUCAGGGAGAUAAAAACUGAGAUGUUUGGAUACUUCCAAUUAUCCUAAAAAUACAUUUGCUUAAGCAAAUCUUCUCUGUUGGCAAAUCGUCUCUCCUGAGGGAAUACAAUCUCAUAAGCUUGGUUUAAAACAUUUUCUAAUAUAUAUGGCAUAAAUAUUUCUCUUGUGGCCCAUUUCAUGCUGUCAAAUUUAACAGUUGGCUCACCAGAUCCAAAAAAUGUACUGACCAAUCAGCUCACCGGAGCUGGGAGACGGAUGCUUUCCCAUUGCAGUGAGACCCCGGAGUCCCACUCUGCAGUAACUGACAGGUGUGGUUUAGGGACAUAAAAUCUGACACUGUGAAGUGUCAUCUAGAUUAGAGAUCUCUCUGGUGAAGACCCUGCUGUUCCUGCUGCCAGGGAUGUGAUAAGUCUAUUCAACGGCUGCCAAGGCGACAGAGCCACUUCUCCCAGGGUCACACCCUAUCCAGAACAUCUCCUAUCCAGACACAGAAUAAGGUUUGAUGUUGAGGUUUGGUCUGUUGCUAUGUACUGUAAUACUAACUGUGGGCUCCCCGAGGCCUGGUUGCCCCAGAGAUGAGAGAGAGUCCACAGUUAGACCCAAGUGAUGCUAUAUACCCAAAUUAUCUCUGAUUGGUGAAUAAAGAUACCUGCAGCCAAUAGCUGGGCAGAAUAGAGA
ensembl:antisense Gm16262 predicted gene 16262